AGUUGGUUAGCUCAAUGGUAGAGCAUCCCUUUAUUAAAGGGAGGUUCUAGGUUCGACUCCUAGACCAACUA